GACGAACACUGGCGGCGUGCUUAACACAUGCAAGUCGAACGGAAAGGCCCUGCUUUUGUGGGGUGCUCGAGUGGCGAACGGGUGAGUAACACGUGAGUAACCUGCCCUUGACUUUGGGAUAACUUCAGGAAACUGGGGCUACUACCGGAUAGGAGCUCCUGCUGCAUGGUGGGGGUUGGAAAGUUUCGGCGGUUGGGGAUGGACUCGCGGCUUAUCCGCUUGUUGGUGGGGUAGUGGCUUACCAAGGCUUUGACGGCUAGCCGGCCUGAGAGGGUGACCGGCCACAUUGGGACAGAGAUACGGCCCAGACUCCUACGGGAGGCAGCAGUGGGGAAUAUUGCACAAUGGGCGGAAGCCUGAUGCAGCAACGCCGCGUGCGGAAUGACGGCCUUCGGGUUGUAAACCGCUUUCGCAUGUGACGAAGCGUGAGUGGCGGCAAUGAGUAAAGAAGCACCGGCUAACUACGUG
rnacentral:rRNA from 1 species